rnacentral:lncRNA from 1 species
ACUUAUCCAUCCACGCCUCUCAUAUUGAGGUAAGAAUAUAAUAAAGUUACCAUGCCCCCUCUAAUAGGCUAGUCCGCGGAACCCGUCCACUGCAGCAACUAAUGAAUAACCCACCAAUUUAAUAAAAUUUAAUGGCAUGACAUGGCAAUUUUAUCAUUAUCCAGCCUAUCAAGGCAAACAACAAUUUAUACAUUUUCAACAUAAAUACCAAUUCAACCAUUCAUGCCAAUAUUAUCAUAAGCCAUUCAAUUCAAACCAUGAUAUAUAACACAGCAAUUAGUCUCCAAUUACUCCAUUUUCAAAACCAUCAUUCAAUUUCAAGACAAUUUAUAUAAUCAUUUCAUUUAAACACAUUUUGUUUAUAAAACCUAAAGAUUUACCAUUCAAACACAUUUUUCUAUAAAAUCACAAAAACGAAUAAAAACUACUAUAGAUAAUUAAGACGAUAGUAAGGUUACUCACUAUUUCGGGAGUCAAAUUUCGAGUACUCCGAUUCUUGAUCCUCGGGUACUAUCUCUUUACUUUUGCCAGAAUGCUCACCACCUAGAUAUAAUGCACAAUAAACCAUUUGUUACAUUUGUGCUAAAUUGUUAUAAAACCAAUUCAAGCUCUAUACUAACACAUGAAAUGGGAUGUGAAAUACUUAGGUAACUAUCUAAAUACGGUGUUCAUUAUAAAUUCAAUUAUAUACCUAAAUAAAACGGCAUUGGCUUAAUUCGAUCUAUCACCCGAUUAAUUGGCCAAUACGUCCAAUUCAACUCCAAAUAAUUCCAUUUUUCUCCCAAUAUUCCAAAUCAUCAAACACAAAUUAAAUAACUUGAAAUAUGACAAAAUCAUCCUCACAUUUUCUCUUGGAAAAUUCGGCCAUGGUGGGUGCAUCAACACUAUGAUUUUUCCUACUUGAUUCUCACACCAUAAAUCACUAAUUCCUAACUAAAUCACUUGAAAUAAAAUAAAAAAUCAUCCUCAAUAUUCCACAUGGAGAAUUCGGCCAAUGAUGGGUGAUGGAAGAACAUGAAUUUUUCUUGCCUGAUUUUCAUGCUACACAUCACGAAUCAACUAAAAACACUAAAAUACAUUUAAAUCUAACCAAAUCAAGCAUCAAAACCUCUCUCUAAGUGUUCAACUAGCAAGAUACCUGCCAUGAAAUCAUGUGAUUCAACCAUGGAAAAUGCAAAAGAAUGUAUGGGAAAGGUAGAUCACAAGUCAAAAUCAAGAAAUUUUACCUUUGAUUGCUUGAUUACUUGAAAUCCACCAAUUUUCUCUUGAAUUUUCACCCUAGGGUUCUUGUUCUUUCUUUUCUUCCUUUGUUCUUG